rnacentral:rRNA from 1 species
GACGAACGCUGGCGGCGUGCUUAACACAUGCAAGUCGAACGAUGAACCCGGAGCUUGCUCUGGGGGAUUAGUGGCGAACGGGUGAGUAACACGUGAGUAACCUGCCCUGGACUCUGGGAUAAGCGUUGGAAACGACGUCUAAUACCGGAUAGGACCUUGGAUCGCAUGAUCUGGGGUGGAAAGUUUUUUCGGUCUGGGAUGGACUCGCGGCCUAUCAGCUUGUUGGUGAGGUAAUGGCUCACCAAGGCGUCGACGGGUAGCCGGCCUGAGAGGGUGACCGGCCACACUGAGACUGAGACACGGCCCAGACUCCUACGGGAGGCAGCAGUGGGGAAUAUUGCACAAUGGGCGAAAGCCUGAUGCAGCAACGCCGCGUGCGGGAUGACGGCCUUCGGGUUGUAAACCGCUUUUAGUAGGGAAGAAGGGCUUCGGCUUGACGGUACCUGCAGAAAAAGGACCGGCUAACUACGU